AAUAUUGCACAAUGGGGCGCAAGCCUGAUGCAGCCAUGCCGCGUGUAUGAAGAAGGCCUUCGGGUUGUAAAGUACUUUCAGCAGUGAGGAAGGUGGGUAUGUUAAUAGCAUAUUCAUUUGACGUUAGCUGCAGAAGAAGCACCGGCUAACUCCGUGCCAGCAGCCGCGGUAAUACGGAGGGUGCGAGCGUUAAUCGGAAUUACUGGGCGUAAAGCGCAUGCAGGUGGUUUGUUAAGUCAGAUGUGAAAGCCCGGGGCUCAACCUCGGAAUUGCAUUUGAAACUGGCAAACUAGAGUACUGUAGAGGGGGUAGAAUUUCAGGUGUAGCGGUGAAAUGCGUAGAGAUCUGAAGGAAUACCGGUGGCGAAGGCGGCCCCCUGGACAGAUACUGACACUCAGAUGCGAAAGCGUGGGGAGCAAACAGGAUUAGAUACCCUGGUAG
rnacentral:rRNA from 1 species